rnacentral:rRNA from 1 species
UACGAAGGGGGCUAGCGUUGCUCGGAAUCACUGGGCGUAAAGCGCACGUAGGCGGCUUUUUAAGUCAGAGGUGAAAUCCUGGAGCUCAACUCCAGAACUGCCUUUGAUACUGGAGAGCUUGAGUCCGGGAGAGGUGAGUGGAACUGCGAGUGUAGAGGUGAAAUUCGUAGAUAUUCGCAAGAACACCAGUGGCGAAGGCGGCUCACUGGCCCGGUACUGACGCUGAG